rnacentral:rRNA from 1 species
CAAUAGCGUAUAUUAAAGUUGUUGCAGUUAAAAAGCUCGUAGUUGAAUUUUUGCUUGCCGCCGAUGUCGGAACUUCCGUACGUUCGGCGGCGUGCAUCCUUGGGUGGAACCUGUGUGGCAUUAGGUUGUCGUGCAGGGGAUGCCCAUCUUUUACUGUGAAUAAAUUAGAGUGUUCAAAGCAGGCUUACGCCGUUGAAUAUGCUAGCAUGGAAUAAUAAGAUAGGACCUUGGUACUAUUUUGUUGGUUUGCGCACCGAGGUAAUGAUUAAUAGGGACAGUUGGGGGUAUUCGUAUUGCAUUGUCAGAGGUGAAAUUCUUGGAUUUUUGCAAGACGAACGACUGCGAAAGCAUUUACCAAGGAUGUUUUCAUUAA